GGACUAACUGACUAUUUUGUUGUUCGCCGUCGGGAGAAAUUUUGCACAACGGGAAUUGCGGAUUGUGUUGCUCUCCGUAGGCGAUUGAGUGGCGAAACAAAAGCCAAAGGCGCGGCAGACAGUUCGUCACGAGACCGAAAGUGCGGAGAGUGUCGGUCGACAAGAACAAAACCGCAAUAUCAUCCGGAGUCAAGAAGAAGACCGAUCGGCGUUCCGUUCGGGAAAAGGAAGUCCCUACUGAGGGGCUUCUUUUUUCAUAUUUACAGUUUUGUUCUCGGAGCACGCUGAAACGACGAGCGUGAAGCGCAAGGCGACGACAGAGAAACGGGAAGAAAUCCACCAUUAGAGCCACCUCGAAAGACUCCCGUGCAGGAAAGUGCGGACACCGUCAACGAGCGAUCGGUCGCUCCGUCCAUACCGGUGCGGAAGGCCGGAGAAUCGGGUACCUGGCUGGCUAAGAGCGAGCACCGUCAACGAGUGAACAGUCGGUCCGUCAACACCGGUGCGGAGGACCGGAGAAGCGGGCGCCUGGCUGGCUGAACGACCCUCCUACACCCAGUACGCCAAUCCGGAGGCGGUGACAGGGACGGCUCAACGAUGGCAGAAGGAAAAACCUCUAGGCAGUUCGGCCAGAGGGUGGCGAUCCUGGGUCGAUCGAGUGCCGUAGGGCUGUAAACCGUGAGUCAGUGAUUGUAGUUUUAAGAUCAUGAUCAAAUUAGCCUAGGAGAGACAGGAACCCAGAGUAGGUUGAUGAGAAACGCUUUUCUAAUAUAAUGUGUUAAAAUGAA